GUGAGCACGCGCGCCGUUCUCCUGCCGCCGCAGCUAUGCGCUGGGGCUGGGUGCACCUGUCACCUGUACUUUUGCCUUUUUUUUUUUUUUUAACCACCACCGGCUUGAGGCUCUUCCUUGAUUUCAGGAGUUUGCUGGAGGAUUAAGCCACACAUCCGAUUUUAACUACGGGUCUAGCCAUACCACCAGAUCUGACACCCAGGCUGUAUGAAGUUGGUUCCUCAUGGAAUUGCUUUCAGUGAACUUCCAUUUGUAGUUGGCCAGAAGAUACCUGGGUAUACAGGAUACUUACGGAAGGCUUCUCAGAAGAGGUGACUCUUCAGUGGAGACCUAAUAAAGACCUUUACAAGCCAUUUGAAUAGCUGGGGGAGAAAAGCAAGUACAAACACCCUUGGCUGGGGUGUCCUUGUCCGGUGAG
ensembl:lncRNA